AUUGAACGCUGGCGGCAUGCCUUACACAUGCAAGUCGAACGGCAGCACGGGGCAACCUGGUGGCGAGUGGCGAACGGGUGAGUAAUGCAUCGGAACGUACCUUUCAGUGGGGGAUAACGUAGCGAAAGUUACGCUAAUACCGCAUAUUCUGUGAGCAAGAAAGCAGGGGAUCGCAAGACCUUGCGCUGAUUGAGCGGCCGAUGUCAGAUUAGCUAGUUGGUGAGGUAAAGGCUCACCAAGGCGACGAUCUGUAGCGGGUCUGAGAGGAUGAUUCGCCACACUGGAACUGAGACACGGUCCAGACUCCUACGGGAGGCAGCAGUGGGGAAUUUUGGACAAUGGGGGCAACCCUGAUCCAGCCAUGCCGCGUGAGUGAAGAAGGCCUUCGGGUUGUAAAGCUCUUUCGGCCGGGAAGAAAUCGCACGGGCUAAUACCCUGUGUGGAUGACGGUACCGGAAUAAGAAGCACCGGCUAACUACGUGCCAGCCGCCGCGGUAAUAC
rnacentral:rRNA from 1 species